rnacentral:rRNA from 1 species
GACGAACGCUGGAGGCGUGCUUAACACAUGCAAGUCGAACGAUGAAAUGGAGCUUGCUCCAUGGAUUAGCGGCGAACGGGUGAGUAACACGUGAAUAACCUGCCCUUAAUUUUGGAAUAACCCAGGGAAACCUGGGCUAAUACCGGAUAAGUAAACCUGUGGCAUCACAUGGUUUUGGAAAGUUUUUCGAUUAAGGAUGGAUUCGCGGCCUAUCAGCUUGUUGGUGAGGUAAUGGCUCACCAAGGCGACGACGGGCAGCCGGCCUGAGAGGGUGAACGGCCACACCGGGACUGAGACACGGCCCAGACUCCUACGGGAGGCAGCAGUGGGGAAUAUUGCGCAAUGGACGAAAGUCUGACGCAGCGACGCCUCGUGAGGGACGAAGGUCUUCGGAUUGUAAACCUCUUUCAGCAGGGACGAAGCGAAAGUGACGGUACCUGCAGAAGAAGCACCGGCUAACUAUGUGCCAGCCGCCGCCGUAA